rnacentral:rRNA from 1 species
UACGUAUGGGGCUAGCGUUGUCCGGAUUUAUUGGGCGUAAAGAGCGUGUAGGCGGCCAGGUAGGUCUGCUGUGAAAACUCGAGGCUCAACCUCGAGACGUCGGCGGAAACCAUCUGGCUAGAGUCCGGAAGAGGAGAGUGGAAUUCCUGGUGUAGCGGUGAAAUGCGCAGAUAUCAGGAAGAACACCCGUGGCGAAGGCGGCUCUCUGGGACGGUACUGACGCUGAGACGCGAAAGCGUGGGGAGCGAACAGG